GAUGAACGCUGGCGGCGUGCCUAAUACAUGCAAGUCGAGCGAAUGGAUUAAGAGCUUGCUCUUAUGAAGUUAGCGGCGGACGGGUGAGUAACACGUGGGUAAACUGCCCAUAAGACUGGGAUAACUCCGGGAAACCGGGGCUAAUACCGGAUAACAUUUUGAACCGCAUGGUUCGAAAUUGAAAGGCGGCUACGGCUGUCACUUAUGGAUGGACGCGCGUCGCAUUAGCGAGUUGGUGAGGUAACGGCCCACCAAGGCAACGAUGCGUAGCCGACCUGAGAGGGUGAUCGGCCACACUGGGACUGAGACCCGGCCCAGACUCCUACGGGAGGCAGCAGUAGGGAAUCUUCCGCAAUGGACGAAAGUCUGACGGAGCAACGCCGCGUGAGUGAUGAAGGCUUUCGGGUCGUAAAACUCUGUUGUUAGGGAAGAACAAGUGCCAGUUGAAUAAGCUGGCACCUUGACGGUACCUAACCAGAAAGCCACGGCUAACUACGUGCCAGCAGCCGCCGUAA
rnacentral:rRNA from 1 species